rnacentral:rRNA from 1 species
ACGGGAGGCAGCAGUGGGGAAUAUUGCACAAUGGACGCAAGUCUGAUGCAGUGACGCCGCGUGGGGGAUGACGGCUUUCGGGUUGUAAACUCCUUUUACUACUGAAGAAGCGAGAGUGACGGUAGGUGGUGAAUAAGCGCCGGCUAACUACGUGCCAGCAGCCGCGGUAAUACGUAGGGCGCGAGCGUUGUCCGGAUUUAUUGGGCGUAAAGAGCUCGUAGGCGGUUUGUUGCGUCUGCUGUGAAAGUCCGGGGCUUAACUCCGGGAUUGCAGUGGGUACGGGCAGGCUAGAGUGCGGUAGGGGUAACUGGAAUUCCUGGUGUAGCGGUGGAAUGCGCAGAUAUCAGGAGGAACACCGAUGGCGAAGGCAGGUUACUGGGCCGUGACUGACGCUGAGGAGCGAAAGCAUGGGGAGCGAACAGGAUUAGAUACCCUGGUA